rnacentral:rRNA from 1 species
ACCUUUUUCCCUGGUGGAGAAGAGUUUUACACAGCAGUGAUUGCGGCUGUGUGUUGGGCGAUUUGGUCUUGUCGCAACAGAGCUACUUUCGAAUUCAAGCCGCUUAAAAACCCGUUUGAAUGCAUCUUUUCUGCUUGUGCUUUAAUGUGUUACUGGGCAGGGCUGCUGAAGCAAGAAGAUGCGGCGACCAUGAGGGACGGGGCAAAGAUGCUGAAGGAGAACCCAUCGAUGACGAUGAGAAUCUGCGCGGCAAGUCAAGAGGGAGCGGCGCGCUGA